rnacentral:rRNA from 1 species
ACGCUGGCGGCGUGCUUAACACAUGCAAGUCGAACGUAAAGGCCCUGCUUUUGUGGGGUGCUCGAGUGGCGACCGGGUGAGUAACACGUGAGUAACCUUCCCUUGACUUUGGGAUAACUUCAGGAAACUGGGGCUAAUACCGGAUAGGAGCUCCUUCUGCAUGGUGGGGGUUGGAAAGUUUCGGCGGUUGGGGAUGGACUCGCGGCUUAUCAGCUUGUUGGUGGGGUAGUGGCUUACCAAGGCUUUGACGGGUAGCCGGCCUGAGAGGGUGACCGGCCACAUUGGGACUGAGAUACGGCCCAGACUCCUACGGGAGGCAGCAGUGGGGAAUAUUGCACAAUGGGCGGAAGACUGAUGCAGCAACGCCGCGUGCGGGAUGACGGCCUUCGGGUUGUAAACCGCUUUCGCCUGUGACGAAGCGGGAGUGACGGUAAUGGGUAAAGAAGCACCGGCUAACUACGUG